rnacentral:rRNA from 1 species
UACGGAGGUGGCAAGCGUUGUUCGGAAUUACUGGGCGUAAAGGGCGCGUAGGCGGCAUGGCAAGUCAGGUGUGAAAGCCCCGGGCUUAACUCGGGAACUGCAUCUGAAACUGCUGUGCUUGAGUCCUGGAGGGGGUAGUGGAAUUCCCAGUGUAGCGGUGAAAUGCGUAGAUAUUGGGGAGGAACACCGGUGGCGAAGGCGGCUACCUGGACAGUGACUGACGCUGCGGCGCGAAAGCUAGGGGAGCGAACGGG